GAUGAAGAACGUAGCGAAAUGCGAUAAGUAAUGUGAAUUGCAGAAUUCAGUGAAUCAUCGAAUCUUUGAACGCACAUUGCGCCCGGUAGUAUUCUGCCGGGCAUGCCUGUUCGAGCGUCAUUUACACCCUCAAGCCUAGCUUGGUGUUGGGCGCCUGUCCCGCCGUUUUCGCGCGCGGACUCGCCUCAAAGUCAUUGGCGGCGGUCGUGCCGGCCCCCUCGCGCAGCACAUUUGCGCUUCUCGGAGGCCCGGCGGAUCCGCGCUCCAGCAAGACCUUUCACGACUUGACCUCGGAUCAGGUAGGGAUACCCGCUGAACUUAAGCAUAUCAAUAAGCGGAGGA
rnacentral:misc_RNA from 1 species